UACGAAUGGAGCGAGCGUUGUUCGGAAUCACUGGGCGUAAAGCGUGCGCAGGCGGUUGUGAAAGUCAGAAGUGAAAUCCCAGGGCUUAACCUUGGAAUUGCUUUUGAAACUUCACGACUAGAGUACUGGAGGGGUUGGCGGAAUUUCGAGUGUAGCAGUGAAAUGCGUAGAUAUUCGAAGGAACACCGAUGGCGUAGGCAGCCAACUGGACAGUUACUGACGCUCAUGCACGAAAGUAUGGGGAGCAAACAGG
rnacentral:ncRNA from 2 species